CGCGGCCUAUCAGCUUGUUGGUGAGGUAACGGCUCACCAAGGCAUCGACGGGUAGCUGGUCUGAGAGGACGAUCAGCCACACUGGGACUGAGACACGGCCCAGACUCCUGCGGGAGGCAGCAGUGGGGAAUAUUGCACAAUGGGCGGAAGCCUGAUGCAGCGACGCCGCGUGGGGGAUGAAUGCCUUCGGGUUGUAAACCCCUUUCAGGAGGGACGAAGCGAAAGUGACGGUACCUCCAGAAGAAGCCCCGGCCAACUACGUGCCAGCAGCCGCGGUAAUACGUAGGGGGCGAGCGUUGUCCGGAUUUAUUGGGCGUAAAGAGCUCGUAGGCGGCUCAGCAAGUCGGCCGUGAAAGCCCGAGGCUCAACCUCGGGACGCCGGUCGAAACUGCUGUGGCUUGGGUCCGGUAGAGGAGAGUGGAAUUCCCGGUGUAGCGGUGAAAUGCGCAGAUAUCGGGAGGAACACCAGUAGCGAAGGCGGCUCUCUGGGCCGGCACCGACGCUGAGGAGCGAAAGCGUGGGGAGCAAACAGGAUUAGAUACCCUGGUAGUCCACGCUGUAAACGAUGGGCACUCGGUGCUGCGGGUAUCGACCCCUGCAGUGCCUUAGCUAACGCGUUAAGUGCCCCGCCUGGGGAGUACGG
rnacentral:rRNA from 1 species